rnacentral:lncRNA from 1 species
GGCGAGAAUUUGGCAAAUGAAACGGUCGGAACCUUAUCAUCAAUAAGAGUCUUCAAGCAGGCGCCCGAAGCCGCAUCCCAAAUUUUACAAGACCCGUCGUGACUGCCGGAAAUAAUCAGCGAUCCAUCUCGAUUGAAGUGGACGGAACAAGCAGGCGCCCGAAGCCGCAUCCCAAAUUUUACAAGACCCGUCGUGACUGCCGGAAAUAAUCAGCGAUCCAUCUCGAUUGAAGUGGACGGAAGUUACCGGCAUCGAGUGCGCCUGGAUAACGUGGACGGGCCGACCACUUUUGACAUCCCAAACCCUAAUAGUCUCAUCAAAAGAACCGGAGACGAUGAGAUUGGAUUGGGGGCUGAAAUUGACGCAGAAAACGAAAUUGGUGUGGCCGCGUAGGGUUUUAACGCACUCGGAGGUGAAUGCGUCCCAGAUACGGAGGGUUUUGUCGUCGGAGGUGGAGCAGAUAUAGUGGGAGGCAGAGGACCAGGCGAGGUCGUUGAUGCCUUCGGAGUGGCCGACGAGGGUGGAGAUUUUGGAGAGGGUUUCGGUGGACCAGAUGAUGAGGGUUUUGAAGGAGAUAUGGCUAUUGAGGGAGAUAGGGCUCGACUGUAUUUUCUAAACUGAGGGACAUUUUCG